AUUGAACGCUGGCGGCAUGCCUUACACAUGCAAGUCGAACGGCAGCACGGGAGCAAUCCUGGUGGCGAGUGGCGAACGGGUGAGUAAUAUAUCGGAACGUGCCCAGUCGUGGGGGAUAACGCAGCGAAAGCUGUGCUAAUACCGCAUACGACCUAAGGAUGAAAGCGGGGGAUCGCAAGACCUCGCGCGAUUGGAGCGGCCGAUAUCAGAUUAGCUAGUUGGUGGGGUAAAGGCCCACCAAGGCGACGAUCUGUAGCUGGUCUGAGAGGACGACCAGCCACACUGGAACUGAGACACGGUCCAGACUCCUACGGGAGGCAGCAGUGGGGAAUUUUGGACAAUGGGCGCAAGCCUGAUCCAGCAAUGCCGCGUGCAGGAUGAAGGCCUUCGGGUUGCAAACUGCUUUUGUACGGAACGAAACGGCCCUUUCUAAUACAGGGGGCUAAUGACGGUACCGUAAGAAUAAGCACCGGCUAACUACGUGCCAGCAGCCGCGGUAACAC
rnacentral:rRNA from 1 species